rnacentral:rRNA from 1 species
UACGGGGGGAGCAAGCGUUGUUCGGAUUUACUGGGCGUAAAGGGCGCGUAGGCGGCCAGUGCGAGUCAGUUGUGAAAUCUCCGAGCUUAACUCGGAAAGGUCAACUGAUACUGCUCGGCUAGAGUGCGGAAGGGGCAACUGGAAUUCUCGGUGUAGCGGUGAAAUGCGUAGAUAUCGAGAGGAACACCUGCGGCGAAGGCGGGUUGCUGGGCUGACACUGACGCUGAGGCGCGAAGGCCAGGGGAGCAAACGGG